rnacentral:ncRNA from 1 species
AGGGAUUUUUUUUGGUUCCCAGGGGGGAUGGGGAUUCAAGGAGAUGGUGUUCCAAAUCCGCCUUUUCACAAGCCCUUAAGGGUUGUUGGGAAACAUAGCUGCCGUUUUUCGAGCGGCCGGGUCAAGGACCAGCAAGCGAUUGCCGCGGUUUGCGGGAAGAGGAAGGAAUAGUCCUCGCCUCCGAACAGUGAGAAAAGCCAUGUCCAUGAACAUGGUGGAUAAAACUGUACCACCUUAUGAUUAGGCUUCGGCCACUUCAUAAUCUAUUCCCAGCAGCUAUGUACUAUCCAGGGCCACCGACCCGUGACUGUUCUGGAGUCAAAAUCGGUAGUGUCCUUGUUGGCACGGCGCCUGACCGGAGGCUGUGAUAAUUUCUGGUACCACGGGUGCCAGGAGCCCACGGAACUUGUUCCGUCCUGGCUAUGGUGAGGCCCCCUAGGGAGCUACGUGGUGGUUGUGGUUUAACACCCGAAUGCGGGUAGAGCCUCUGGCUCGACGUGGAGUUGCGUUAUACAACCGGGUGCCGUGAUCCCAAAGAUCGGAAGAGGUUUAGAUAGGCCUCCAUCCUUAACCGAGGAUUAAGUCAUGACCGAACAGAUUGACUUACAUUCGGUAUCCGGCGGAACAUGGUUCCAAAGGGGCGCUGAUUGACGCAUUGUUUCAUAUCCCACGCCCGAGGGGGCCGUGAGAUUAAGCCAACAUGGCAGGUGCUCACGUUAAACAUAUCAGACUUUCAUGUCCCUAUCUACUAUCUAGCGAAACCACAGCCAAGGGAACGGGCUUGGAAUAAUUAGCGGGGAAAGAAGACCCUUUUGAGCUUGACUCUAAUCUGGCAGUGUAAGGAGACAUAAGAGGUGUAGAAUAAGUGGGAGAUAUUAGACUUCGGUUUGGUAUCGCCAAUGAAAUACCACUACUCUUAUUGUUUCCUUACUUACUUGAUUAAAUGGAACGUGUAUCAUUUCCUAGCCAUUAUACGGAUAUAUUUAUUAUAUCUUAUGGUAUUGGGUUUUGAUGGCUAGCAUCAUAAUCAAAAUAUUCUCACCAUUGUUCAAAUCUCCCGACGCCAAUUCUUCUGCCAGGUCUCUCAUUUUCAUUGCAGCUACUGCUUUCUCUUAGGAUCUAACUCCAUUUUCUCUCAUAAACCUCAUGAUCCGAUUUCCUAGCUAUAAAUGCCUUCCCAUGGCUUAUUACUCUGGUUCCACA